ensembl:lncRNA LINC02092 long intergenic non-protein coding RNA 2092
UGGUGGUGGCCUGUGAGCCUUCAGGUGGGUAGGAUGACAGCAGCAGGUGCCCAGGAGGAGGGGAGGAACAAAGAUCUUGUUUUUGUGCCAUCAUCCCUGAUACAUAAUGAAAACCCAGGGUAGGGGUGGGGUGGGAAUGGAGUGGGGAGAUCUGACUCUGCAGCCAUCCCUCACCACUCCUGCUUGGACAUCGCCAGGCUCAGCUAGAGAAGGCAGAAAAAGUUCCUCCAACUCCUUCCCCAGGCACCUAUGCAGGCUCCACACUCCUGCCUGAACAGCUAUGAUUUUAAAAGCCAUCGAGUCAUGAAGAGAAGUGUGCCAGUGUGUGCUGGACUCAGUUUCCCCUGUGCACCAUUUUCCCCAGUCAGCCCUGCACCUUCCAAGAACUAUGACCCGAAGGCACACCCUAGUCAGCUCAGGCCCCACAUUCCUGCAAAAAUAAGGCUCCAGGGCUCCCUCAUCGCAGCAUGGGUUCUGCAGGAAGCCCCAGUGCCAAGUGGCUUUCAAAACUAGCCUCAGCUAGCAACGUGGCGGCUAUUUCAGCGACCGACAAAAGCAGCUCCCCCAGCCUCCCUUGGUGUUUGUGGUCCCUUUUGUUCCAGCCAGGCACCAUGAGGAAAAUGCAGCAACCGUUUGGAAACAAAGGCUCGGGCAGGCUCUCUCCAGUCUGAAAAGCCCACUUUCACUUGAGUUUCAGGUUACUGAGAGGUUAAGAAUUGCCAAAAAAGACCUGUGCCUUCCCUCUGAUAUUCCCUGGGUUUAGUUCUUCUCUCCUCCUUCUGCCAAGAGACCACUGAGAAGUGCCUCCGAAGAGCUAAGGGCUGCCCCAGGUGGUUAUGUGGGAGGUGAGUCAAGGCUUGAGGAUCUGGAGACUAAGCAACUCUCAAGAGAAAGUUCUGCUGGGACCCCUCCCUUGGUCUUCCCUUUCUGCCCCCUCUGAUGCCCCCUUCAUCCAUCCCUGCCUGCCUUCUGGUCUGUCCCUGCAGCGUGAGUGCCAGACAGAGGCCUGUUCUGAUGUCCUGACAUGCUACAAUUAUGCAGAUUUACACAGCAAGCAUAAGACCUUCUCCGCAUGUAUGGCUUCCCCAUUCCCAAGCAGACCAUGAACUUCCUAAGGAAAGUGACCGAAUUCCGCACUUCUCAACCCUCGCGGAGGGGCAGGGAGAUGGAUGAAGAAAUAAAGAGAGGGUGAAAUCAUUCUGGGAAGUUUCCUUGAAAGGGCCCAAAUCUGCCUCUUUCUGGGGCCCAGCGAGGACCCUGGAAGACAGAGAUCCUAGAAAAAGCAGAGGGAAAAGAAGAGGAAGAGAACAUGGAGAAACCGCCAGGGAACAGAACUCUUGGUCCAGGAGGCGCAAACCACAAGUGCAAUUAGUCAAAAAAAAACCCUGAAAUUAAAAAAUGAUUCCAAGCUGAGGAGGGGAGUACAUAAGUUACUGCAGCCCCAAGACAUUUAUGAAUAAUACAAAUGCUGUGAGGUGCUGAGCCUGAGCACAGUUAAUUAAUAUGUACAGGAGCAGAGAUGCACUUGAAAAACAAUAGUGCUGUUUCCCCCUCGCCAGAAGUAAAAAUAUUUCCAGAAAGAC